rnacentral:misc_RNA from 1 species
UACGGAGGGGGCGAGCGUUAUUCGGAAUUAUUGGGCGUAAAGGGCGCGUAGGCGGCUUCGCAAGUUGAAAGUGAAAUCCCUCGGCUCAACCGAGGAACUGCCUUCAAAACUGCGUGGCUUGAGGCCGGGAGGGGCCAGUGGAAUUCCCAGUGUAGCGGUGAAAUGCGUAGAGAUUGGGAGGAACACCGGUGGCGAAGGCGGCUGGCUGGACCGGUUCUGACGCUGAUGCGCGAAAGCGUGGGGAGCAAACAGG